CAGCAGCCGCGGUAAUAUGUAGGGGGCAAGCGUUGUCCGGAAUGAUUGGGCGUAAAGGGCGCGUAGGCGGCCUUAUAAGUCUGGAGUGAAAGUCCUGUCUUCAAGAUGGGAAUUGCUUUGGAUACUGUAGGGCUUGAGUGCAGGAGAGGUAAGUGGAAUUCCCAGUGUAGCGGUGAAAUGCGUAGAGAUUGGGAGGAACACCAGUGGCGAAGGCGACUUACUGGACUGUAACUGACGCUGAGGCGCGAAAGUGUGGGGAGCAAACAGGAUUAGAUACCCUGGUAGUCCACACUGUAAACGAUGAAUGCUAGGUGUAGGGGGUAUCGACCCCUUCUGUGCCGCAGUUAACACAAUAAGCAUCCCGCCUGGGGAGUACGGCCGCAAGGUUGAAACUCAAAUAAAUUGACGG
rnacentral:rRNA from 1 species